rnacentral:misc_RNA from 1 species
GAGCAUUAUGCUUGCAUGGUAGAUAUCCUCGGCCGAGCUGGAUAUCUUGAAGAAGCAGUUGCAAUUAUCAGAACAAUGCCUGUGAAGCCAAGCAAAAAUGUUUAUGGUGCCUUGCUUGGUGCUUGUAGAAUACACAACAACAUAGAACUCGCUGAAGAAGCUGCAGAGAGAUUAUUUGUUUUGGACCCUGAUAAUGCUGGACGGUACAUAAUCCUGGCCAAGAUGUAUGAAGAUGCAGAGAGGUGGGAGGAUUCAGCCAGGGUGAGGAAGUUGCUUAGAGAAAGGAAAAUUAAGAAGCCAAUUGGCUGUAGUUCAAUUGAAGUAGAUUGUGCUCACCACUCAUUUGGAGUUGAAGAUGAGUCUCAUCCAUACAAGGAGCAGAUCUAUGAUGCAUUGGAGAGAUUGGAUAGGAUAAUGGAGGACGAGUUGAUGCAGAUGUGAUCAUUCGCAAGGGUGCCUUUGAUGCUCAAAUAGAAUGGGAGAAAUCAAAAAGGAAAUAGUACUUAAAAAACACAAUCAUAGGUUAACAAGCCACUGGUUGCA